UCUCUCUCUCUCUCUCCCAGUUGGGCGUUGUUAGUGGUGGUUUGGGGAAGGGGUUAUAUUAGGUUGUCUGGUGAUUUUUGUUUGGGUUCUGAGGAAAUUGGAUAUCAGUUUUGGGGGUGUUUGUUCUCCUGGCGUUUCUGUGGAAUUUCGUCGAGUGCAAGCCGUGCUGCUUUGGUUUGUUAGAAACUAGUCAGCUAGUUCAGAGAUUAGUUGUUUGGGGAGACCUACAUCUUUCGCGGCUGAGAAGAAGGUAAGCGUCAGAGAGAGAGAGAGAGCCGCACUCCAUCUAAACGCAGCAGCCAUGGGUUGCAUGCACAGUCGUGGAAAAGGUAUUUCUUUUUCGGCCCUUCCGUACAAGCGGACUCCGCCGAGCUGGCUGAAGAUCUCCAUUCCGAACGUCGAGGAAAAUAUCGGCGAUUGUUGUAAUGGUGUUUUCAUAAAAAUAAAAGUUGUUUGGGGAGGGGAUUAGCUUCUUUUUCUGCUGAUUUUAUCUGGGUUUUGAGGGAAUUGAAAACACAUUUAGGGGUUUUUGUUUUUCUGGUAUUUCCAAGGGAUUUCAACGAGGGUUGGGUGCUAAUGCUCUGAUUUCUUGCCAAUUCUUGCAGAAAUUGGCUGUUUCAAGAGGGGAUUAACUCUGUUCUCUGCUGAUUUUAUCUUGGUUUUGAGGAAAAUUGCAAACCCAUCUAGGAUUUCUUGAAAAACUGAGCUAACGUUUGCUCUUUCUUGAAGAGAUUAGCAUUGAUUAUCUACUGAUUUUUAGCUGGUGGUUGCUGGCAUUUAUCUGUAUCUGUGGCAUUUGCCACAUGAUCUUGUGGUUUCUUUAAGCAGUGAUUUCUAUUGUCGGGUGUGUUUGUGUAGUUCAGUAUCCUUACUUGAGGUUAGGUGUUUCUAGUUGUCAUUAGUUACUUUUAAUGUUUUGGAGCAUCUUUUCUCUUUCGUGGAUGGUUGAACAUGUGGAAAGAAUCUUGAAGAAAAAGGUGAACUUGUUGAAUGAUACUGAAGUGAUGCUUCUGUCAGCGGUUGGUGAAUCAAGCAAGGGAAGUUGUGGUAGCUCCUGGAUGGACGGUCUUACGCAUUUGGUUUAUCCAGGAGCUGUACAUUCUUGGAUCGAACAUACCCUAGGGGUGUAUUGGCUUGCUAGUGAAGUUGGUCACAAACUUCAGAUAUACCAAGUGAUGUGUACGAUGAAUCAUUGGGUCUAAUGCAGGCCAGUAGCAGCGACCACUCUGUAUGCUUUGGAUGCUGGACGUCUUUCUCAGGUUACAAGGGAAACCAAUGUUACCUAAAUCACAACUGCCCCUUCAGCUCUUCCGAAUUGUGUGACCCGGAUUAUGGGUCAUUUGCAAUCCAGGUAACUAUUUUCAGUGAUCCGAAAUUAUAGUUCUAUGUUGUAAUGUAAAUUUAUAUUAGAGCAUAGAAAUUUAUAGUUUGAUUUAUGCAA